CAUUCUGCUUUCUUAUGACGGCAAUAAAAUUACAGUUGCUCUUAGUUGAUAAUUAACCGAUCAGAAGCUAAUCAUUCUUAUUAUUCAACUGCAGUUAAUGUUGUAUUGCCUAGUUGGGAUAGUCACCUAAUCUGCGGAAAAUACGUUGUUGAGAAGAAAACUGUGUUAAAAAUUAUAGAUAAAUAAUAAUAAGAACAAGAAAAAAAUGGAGGAAUGUCGUACGCCUACCAUGCGGUGCUGUCACGAAUUUAAGUUUAAUAGUAGUCCUUUCAAUUCAUGCCUCCAGGAAGCACACAUUUUUAAUCAAAUGUGCUGUUCCACUCCUAAGCAUAUGGACAUGAGCACUUUUGAACUUCAGACAUCUAUGAUUAGCCCGUUGGAAGGGCUUAAUAAAUCAACAUUUUCACUCAGCCCAAAUUUUUCGCCGGUUGCAUCCACCAGCAAUAACUUGAGUCCAGAAUACGCCAGUCAUCACACUUUGAUUAAAAGUAUUCUGAACAGUAAUAUAACGGUUCACUUGCUGCUUAAAUAUGUGGGCUUAGAAGCUUAUGCUGAUUAUUUUGAAGAAUGCGGUAUCGAUAUCAAUGAUUUCAUGAAAUUAAAGCGCCAUGAUUUACAGAAAUUUGGUAUCAUGCCAGAAGUUGAUUGCGAUCGAAUUGAAAAGUUUCUUGAAGAUUUGAAUUUUAGUGAAAAGGAGGAAAUUUAGGCUUUCGUUAUGUGUUUAGUUAAUUCUGCAUGUAAAUAAUGUUGUGUUGUACAUUUUAAAAUUUUAGAAAUCACGCCAUACGGGUCGACCUGAAGUUAAAAAGAAUACAUCAGCACGCUUGCAACAUAUUUUUGAACGCAAAGCAAAUAAAUUAUAUUUGAAAGCAACCCAGACCUUGGAGCAAUCUACCGGUAUAUCUAUUAAAAAAGCAACGUCGCAUUCGGAUCAUUUGUCUUCUGAAGAGUUUGCUGAUGGCGACCAAGAACUGGAUAAAUAUCUGGUCAUGCUAUUGGGCUUGCAGCGGCUUUUGAAUUGGGAAAGAGCCCUUAUGCAAGAGAUUAUACCCAAUUCGAAGCAUGCUGACGUCUUCGCCAAGCUUGCCUAUAAGUCAAUCGAUAUGGUUGUCAAAGAUGCCGAAGCUAUUACUAAUCGUAUCAUGCGUUGUAUUUCUCGUAAAGAGUGGACAUCGGCUUUGGGUAUAUUUUCAGCAUUGAAAAGAGUAAUUUUAUUACAGCCAGAUAUCGACCGUACAUACGACGUUCAACAGAGGGAGCA